rnacentral:lncRNA from 1 species
UUGUUGUUGUAACAAAGUUUUAGAAACUUGAGAAGUUUCUGUAGCAAGUUGUAUAGUGGGUAAUUUAAGAGGUGGUGGAAGUAAAAUAGGUUCAUAAAUAAUGGGAUUACUAGCUUCAGAGGUUUUGGAAAUGACUGGAAUGGGUUGAGAAGUAGGAGGAGGUUGGAUUGGUAAGAUCCUUUCAGAAAUCACAGAAUCAGGAGUAAUCAGAGUGCUAGCUUCAAGAAGCUUACCAGAUGCAGUGUCAGAAGUUUUUGAAAAGUGCUGGACAACUCCAG